rnacentral:tRNA from 1 species
UGGACUAUAGCUCAGUUGGUAGAGUGCUUGCCUUGCAUGCACAAGGCCCUGGGUUCAAUCCCCAGCACCACAA